GACGAACGCUGGCGGCGUGCUUAACACAUGCAAGUCGAACGGAAAGGCCCCUUUGGGGGUACUCGAGUGGCGAACGGGUGCGUAACACGUGAGUAACCUGCCCUUGACUUCGGGAUAACUUCAGGAAACUGGGGCUAAUACCGGAUAGGAAUCCUUGCUGCAUGUUGGGGGUUGGAAAGCUUCGGCGGUUUUGGAUGGACUCGCGGCUUAUCAGCUUGUUGGUGGGGUAGUGGCUUACCAAGGCUUUGACGGGUAGCCGGCCUGAGAGGGCGACCGGCCACAGUGGGACUGAGAUACGGCCCAGACUCCUACGGGAGGCAGCAGUGGGGAAUAGUGCACAAUGGGCGGAAGCCUGAUGCAGCAACGCCGCGUGCGGGAUGACGGCCUUCGGGUUGUAAACCGCUUUCAGCAGGGGAGAAGCUUGUGGUGACGGUACCUGCAGAAGAAGCACCGGCUAACUACG
rnacentral:rRNA from 1 species